GAUGAACGCUGGCGGCGUGCCUAAUACAUGCAAGUCGAGCGAACGGACGAGAAGCUUGCUUCUCUGAUGUUAGCGGCGGACGGGUGAGUAACACGUGGAUAACCUACCUAUAAGACUGGGAUAACUUCGGGAAACCGUAGCUAAUACCGGAUAAUAUUUUGAACCGCAUGGUUCAAAAGUGAAAGACGGUCUUGCUGUCACUUAUAGAUGGAUCCGCGCUGCAUUAGCUAGUUGGUAAGGUAACGGCUUACCAAGGCAACGAUGCAUAGCCGACCUGAGAGGGUGAUCGGCCACACUGGAACUGAGACACGGUCCAGACUCCUACGGGAGGCAGCAGUAGGGAAUCUUCCGCAAUGGGCGAAAGCCUGACGGAGCAACGCCGCGUGAGUGAUGAAGGUCUUCGGAUCGUAAAACUCUGUUAUUAGGGAAGAACAUAUGUGUAAUUAACUGUGCACAUCUUGACGGUACCUAAUCAGAAAGCCCCGGCUAACUACGUG
rnacentral:rRNA from 1 species